UUUAAGAUUUAUUUAGAAAUGGGUUAGAAAUGAAAACAUAUAAAAGAAAAAGGGAAAGGGGUUAACUUGGUGAGGUUCUCGUUGGACCCAAAAGAAGGGAAUGGGGUUAAUUUGAUGGAAAUCCCUAAAACAAAUCAUUUCCUGUACUCUCUUCUCCUCUCACCCCGACGGCGAUAAUGGGCCGGUUGUCGGCAGCUUCAAACCGGUGGAGAAGAAUUACAAUGGCUGGUUUAUGAAGUUCUAAUCCCGAAGUGUCUCUGGUUCUAUAUGGGUAAAGAAGAAGACAGUGGUUUAUGGUGACACACUCUUCUCAGCGACGAACAAGGUAUCUCCUCUCCUUUCUGUUUUGAUUCUAUUUCUAUCCUUUUUUGGAUUUUUUUCAUAAACUUGUAUUAUCCUUAUUCUCAUCUUCUUUAAUUAACAGAAGCAGUGAAUGUAAAAUAUUUUUUAUGUUCUCCUUUUUUAGAAGACAUGGUAGUGACAAAGGGGUAGUACUAAUAUAUGCGUAGAUUUCUAAAUUCUAACAUAAAAAAUAUUUGGAUUAAGCAUGUAUUAGAAUGUUAAGUAUUGCAAUAUCAUUUUUCAUCCUUUAUUGUUUAUCAAGCUAAACCAGAAACAUAAUAUAAUUCAAAUCAUCGCUAUUACUAGUUCAUUGCAUAAAAGGAGUUUUGUUCAGGGUGCCUUGUUAUGAAAUCUUGACAAAAUGCCUGCUGGUGCGUUUAAUAAAUAUGUAAAUAUGUUAAAACAUAUUUCAAUUUGCAACUACUUGAAUAGGAUGAAUAGUGUACCUGAGAGUAUACCUUUUUUCCUUUGCUCUUUGAGUGACAACCUUCUGUUCCUUGUUGUUUUUUCUUUGCACUUGCAUGACGUUCUUUGAUUUGUGAUACACGUACAUGUGAUAUUUCCUAAUUUUUGAUAGCUAUAUGUAUUGUGAAUAUGUAUUGUUUGCUUAUAGUUGUGGGAUGGCACUCUUUUUUCUCUCUCUAAUUUUCUGGGUUGUGAUGUAUGUAAGUGAUAUGUCCUUUUUUCUCUCUUUUUCUUAUGGUUGUGUAUGCGUAUAUGUAAUCUGGUCUUUGUUCUCUCUCUGAUUUCCUUAUGGUUGUGUGUUGUGUUUGUUCUCUUUGUGAUUAAGUAUGUCUUUCUGGGUGUAUGCUACAUGGUCCUAUUUAUAACUCGUUAUCCCAUGUAAAGACCUUUUGAGUUUCCCUCAUCUUGGCUUGAUUGUUGCUCUUUUGAUUCAGAUAUCUUUAUGAUACUCAUUAGGUUUUUUGUGUGUGCUAAUUACGUCUUUGUAACUGAAAAGCUCUUGGUUUACCCAUGUUAUAACUCUCCUUGAUAUCCUGCUCCAAAAAAUAUGUCUAACUAUAUUAUAUGUCCCCUUGAUUUCAUAACUGUCCGAAAAAAAUAAUGUGUUGUAAAUCAAUGGAAUAUGUAAUGAAUUUUGGUUGACUGUUACUACUUAUGCAUUAGUUUGCAACCUCCAACUAACUCUUUGUCCCUUCUGAAUUCAUUAUGUGAUUGAUCCGAUUAUGAUUUGCUCAUUAUUCCUGAAAUUUGUGCCUGUUAUGAGAAUAUGCAACUCUGUUUUCACAAAAACCAGUCUGCUGGACUGUUCAUAAGGGAGGGUACCCGUGUAACUCUUGUUCUUUAGCCAUACCUACUUCAAUACCAAUCUCUUUUGCUUUCUGAAUUCAGUUUACUGUUUGCAUCUAGUUUAUUUCUCUUUGGGUUUGGUUUAACAUUGGAUUCUUUUAAUAGUAGGCUUAAGGCUUUUUGAGGACCAUUAUUGAUCAACAAUUCUGGAUAUUGAGUUGGAUACCUCUUAGCUUUCAUUAUAUCACUCCCUUCUCCUUGACAGACCUUUUUGCUAUUAUACCAUGGCACAUGAAAUAAUGCAAGCAUCCCAAGUGUUUAUUUCCUGUCCACUUUUGACAAGUCUUACUUUAGCCUUUGUAUUGGUAUGAGUACACACCAUAAUCUCAAAUGGCAUUUUCCAUCUUGAAUUAUAGGAAACAAACUCAUCCUUUAACAAAAAUAUCUUCUUAACUUGAUGAUUCCCCUAUAUCAGGUACAGUCCUGGCAUGAUCUCCCAGAACAGGAUCGAACAUUGGUGGUGCAAAUCGCUUUCCAACUUGGGUUGAUCUUCAACCUUAUCCAAGAAUGUCUAAAUCAACUUAAGUGUCCUCCGAACAUAGAAGUUUAACGAAGGAUGUUCUAGAUGCAAAAAUAUCCACCUUCAGCAAUACUUUUUUAUAUAAGCUCACUGUACACUAUCUUGUUCUUUUGGAAAAUCAACCUCUUGACGUGCCUGCCCUGUAAUUUCAGUCGUUUCUGACUAGGGAGCCCCAUCAACCGCUAAAGAUAUUCAUUCUUUUUCCAUCAUUUUUAAUCCCAUUCUACUGUUCAUGUGAUCCUCUAGAGGGAAAGUAUUUGUUUGUAUUAAAGGCAAAACCAGUGUCAAGUUCAUGUAGCUUUCGUAUUGUAAGUGAAUGGUUUGUAUUUGCCAACAUUAAAGUUUGAACUUGAGGAGCUUAGAUAUACCUUUUUCAGCUUAGUUUUCUUCCAAUGAUUAUAAUUGGUGUUUGUAUUGAUUAUGAUAAUAUUUGUAACCAAAAAAACUUGAUCAGAGAUAGUUUAUUCACCUUAAUAUUCUAUUUUAAUAAUAUUGGUCAGUGAUUUACAAUAUUUUUUGAAGUAAUAACUAAUUGUCUUUUUCGUAUAUGUAUGACCAAGUUGUGUUAUAUAUGGAAAACUAUAGCGUAUGAGUUUCUG
rnacentral:lncRNA from 1 species